rnacentral:tRNA from 1 species
GUCGGGGUGGUGAAAUAGGCAGACACAGGAGGCUUAAAACUUCCCGCCGAAAGGCAUGUGGGUUCGAGUCCCACCCCCGACA